rnacentral:rRNA from 1 species
CGGCGUCGAGCGGCGGACGGGUGAGUAAUGCCUAGGAAAUUGCCCUGAUGUGGGGGAUAACCAUUGGAAACGAUGGCUAAUACCGCAUGAUGCCUACGGGCCAAAGAGGGGGACCUUCGGGCCUCUCGCGUCAGGAUAUGCCUAGGUGGGAUUAGCUAGUUGGUGAGGUAAGGGCUCACCAAGGCGACGAUCCCUAGCUGGUCUGAGAGGAUGAUCAGCCACACUGGAACUGAGACACGGUCCAGACUCCUACGGGAGGCAGCAGUGGGGAAUAUUGCACAAUGGGCGCAAGCCUGAUGCAGCCAUGCCGCGUGUGUGAAGAAGGCCUUCGGGUUGUAAAGCACUUUCAGUCGUGAGGAAGGUAGUGUAGUUAAUAGCUGCAUUAUUUGACGUUAGCGACAGAAGAAGCACCGGCUAACUCCGUGCCAGCAGCCGCGGUAAUACG